rnacentral:lncRNA from 1 species
GUCCCUGGCUGGUUGUUUUUGCCUGGUUGGUCGUCAACUUCCCCUUGAAAGGGACCAUGAUUUAUUUCUGACCUGGCUCAGUCCCUGGCACAUCAUUGGUACUGCUCAACAUCGGCGGAGCACCCGACUGAGGGGCCCAGUUCUUCUUGCAGGGAACCUGUUCUUGCAGUCACCCUUGUGCACUUAAGAACCUGGAUCCUGGAGCCACACUGUCCUGGAUGGGGGUUGGCCCUGCUGCUCUGCCAUUCCUUAGCUAAGGACAAGUUAUAUCAGCUUUCUGUGCCUCAGUCUGCGGCUCUGUGAGAUGCAGGUAAUACUAGACCCGGGUUUUUUGAGAAUGAAGUGGG